GACGAACGCUGGCGGCGUGCUUAACACAUGCAAGUCGAACGGAAAGGCCCUGCUUUUGUGGGGUGCUCGAGUGGCGAACGGGUGAGUAACACGUGAGUAACCUGCCCUUAACUUUGGGAUAACUUCAGGAAACUGGGGCUAAUACCGGAUAGGAGCUCCUGCUGCAUGGUGGGGGUUGGUAAGUUUCGGCGGUUGUGGAUGGACUCGCGGCUUAUCAGCUUGUUGGUGAGGUUGUGACUGACAAAGGCUUUGACGGGUAGCCGGCCUUGGAGCGGGAACGGCCACAUUGGUACUGCGAUACGGACCAGACUCCUACGUGAGGCAGCAGUGGGGAAUAUUGCACAAUGGGCGGAAGCCUGAUGUAGCAGCGCCGCGUGCGGGAUGACGGCCUUCGGGUUGUAAACCGAUUUCGCCUGUGACGAAGCGUGAGUGACGGUAAUGGGUAAAGAAGCACCGGCUAACUACGUG
rnacentral:rRNA from 1 species